rnacentral:rRNA from 1 species
UACGUAGGGUGCGAGCGUUAAUCGGAAUUACUGGGCGUAAAGCGUGCGCAGGCGGUUUUGUAAGCCAGAUGUGAAAUCCCCGGGCUUAACCUGGGAAUGGCAUUUGGGACUGCAAGGCUGGAGUGUGGCAGAGGAGACUGGAAUUCCCGGUGUAGCAGUGAAAUGCGCAGAUAUCAGGAGGAACACCGAUGGCGAAGGCAGCACUCUGGGACGGUACUGACGCUGAGACGCGAAAGCGUGGGGAGCAAACAGG